rnacentral:lncRNA from 1 species
AGGAGCGCGGACCCAAGAUCGGCUACGCUGCGUCUGCUCAGGCUGCGAGUUCCCGGCUCUGGGGACUCACCUUGCGGAGCUUACCCAGGCGGACUCUCCGCAGCCCCUGAUGGGUGUGUGUGUCAGACCGUUUACUAAACACCAGGACUGUUGUAGGCGACUGUAAGAAAUAAGAAUAUUGCAUGGUUACAAUUCUUGAAUGCUUACCUUGUGUCUUGUUCCUUACUCUACAGAAAUUUUCUAAUCCCGUGGCGAACCCCCGUACUUCAACGUAUGACAUUCUGUAAAUCUACAAAACAGAUGGGUCCCUGCCUUUGAGAAGUUUUUACAAUUUAGUGGGUACUGGACACGGACCUAAUUUAAUUCUCACAUGCCUUCCCUUUCUAAUAAGCUGCAUGUUAUGUAUCCCUAUUCUACAGAUGUGGGGAAUCCGAAAUUUUUAGCUUUUACUGGGACACACAGCUAGCAAGCAACUAAAGCGAGAAUUCCAACCUGAGCUCCAAUCCGAACUAUUUUCAUAAAAGGCAGGAUCCCAGGCUGAGGGAGUUCGAGGUUUGGGAGACAGUUUAGCAGUCGCUGAGUCCAAACAUGUUGUUUUCCUAGAAAAGAAAACUGAGAUCCAGGAAAGGGAAGUGAUUUUCCAAAGACACACCUGUGAAAGGUGAGGAGAACAGCCCAGUGAGGCUGAGGCCACACAAUUAACCCCAGUCUUUGCACUACAACUCUACCAGGGAUCCUGGUUUGGCUCAUUUUCUUUCUUCUGCACCAUGAUUGUUCACCUUUUCAUUACCAGCAACAUACCCAAAGACCUAGCUAUAGACUCGUUGGAAUCUGUUACUUAGCAGCUGUGUGAAUCAAGUGUUCAAUAGGAAUAAUAAGAUGUAUUCAUCUUACCUUUUCAGAACAUUAUGAAGAACAAAUGUGGUAAGACAUAUGAAAAUGCUUUGUAAAGUGUUAGAUGCUUAAUACACAGAAGACAUUGCUUCCAGAUCUGUUUCAACGUACCCCAAGAAUGGAAUAAGUGGAAUAUGCUGGUUUCAUGCACUGUGGCAAGGGGGUCUCAUCUUGGCUAGACUUGAAUAAGUGGAUUUGUUGCCUGGCCUCUGUGGAUGGCUCUUUCUCUGGGCUUUUGUGUAUUUGAUUUUUUAUUUGCUCCAGCAGCCGUGUUGAACCAUGAAAGGACCUCAGGAAUGAAACCCACACACAGCAAAGCAACAAAGUGAAAGAAGCGUGGAUUCCUAAUGCAGGAGGCACUGAACCAAUCAAUACCCACUGCCCUCCAGACCUCCACAUGAAAGAAAAAAACUGCUGUCCUGGGAAGAAGACACUCCCCAGAUGCCAGCAACUUGAUAUUGGACUUCCUGCCUUUAGAAACGUGAGAAAUAAAUUUUUUUUCUUUAUAAGUUACCCAGCCUCUGGCAUUCUGUUAUAGCAGCACAGAACAGACUAAGACAGCCACUGAAACCAGAUCUAUGUCCCGGACCACCCUCAUUUGCCUCAAUUUCUCUCUAUAUAUAAUAAGAACAAAUAAUGCAAAUGCUAUCUAUACUUCCCCGUGACUACAGGGAGACUAAGGGAUGAAAUAUAUAAUCACACUUUGAAAAUAUAUAAAUGUUAUCCAACCAUACAUCCAUUGUUUCACAUCAGGCUGGGCCACAUAGCUUCCUCUGUACCCUUUAGUUUCCUGCCCUUAUCUCUAUCACAGGCCAUAUAUCAAAUGCCUAGUAAUUAUCAGUGCAUCUAUAUAUUCCCUAUUCUCCCCAACAAUACAUAAAAGGUUAUUGCAUUGCAUUGAAUUAUAAGACUUGAUUACUGGAAAGUCUAGACAUCACUCAGGGUCAUUGUGGGGCAGCAUGGGGAUUAUGCAGUGUCAUUAUCCACUAAGCACACUGGAGGUCACACCAGUGAAGUAGCACGUCAGAUGUAAGCAAGACAGAGCUGGGUUGUGAAACUCUGGAACCAGCUGAGCUGAAAGUUUGUGUAAUUUCCUUCCUGCUCAGAGAUGGUUCCAUAUAGUAGACAGAGAGGAGACACGGAGCUUCUCUGGUAAGCUGUGGAGGCCCU